UACGUAGGGGGCAAGCGUUGUCCGGAUUUAUUGGGCGUAAAGGGCGCGUAGGCGGCCGACCAAGUCAGAUGUGAAAGUCCUGGGCUUAACCUGGGGACUGCAUUUGAUACUGAUUGGCUUGAAUGCAGGAGAGGAUAGCGGAAUUCCCAGUGUAGAGGUGAAAUUCGUAGAUAUUGGGAAGAACACCGGUGGCGAAGGCGGCUAUCUGGACUGUGAUUGACGCUGAGGCGCGAAAGCGUGGGGAGCAAACAGG
rnacentral:rRNA from 1 species